UUGAGUGCAAUGAAAAGAACAGAGUCCAAAUGCUGAAAAGUUUUAAAGUGGGAUGAGAGGCAAAGCACUGGGUUUGUCUGUACUGACAUUACCACUGCAUUUAUAUUCAAACAAGUUGAUCACAUAAUCAAGACAGCUCAGACAACUUUCCCCAACACUUUCCCUGCCCAUCCCGUGGCUUUGUUUGUGCAGUCUGCCCUGUGACACCACAGCUGGAGAAAGAGCUGGAUUUGCAGCCACACCACAAAGCCAUCACGGCCUCAGCAGUGUCACAGAGCUCUGGGUAGUCAGACUGGGCAGUGCCGGGGUGCAGAUGCCCAUCCUGUGUUCACACACACACACAGCACUCACCGGCCACCACACCAUGCUGCGUCCAGCCAGGAAAAACCCCCCCACUGUGCCUCGGUUGGUGGAGUACAUGGCCUGCAAAAAAGGAAAAAAGAAAGUUUUCAUCAAAUUUCAAGUGUACCAGGCAAGCUAUACACAGGCUGAGAACAAACAGCUAGAAUGAAGGGAUUAAAAAACACACAGGCAGGAUAAAAUGGAAAAAACAGAGAAGAACAACCUUAUGAUGAAGAAAAUAAUACAAUGGAACAAUGAUUAUUUUAUCUAGGUCUGCAUUAGCCAUUCAAGUUUCAUUUCUGCACCUUUCAUUAUAGUGUGAAACACAAAAUUAAAUUUAACCAAGAAAAAAAUAUCACUCAAGUAAAAGCUCACAUGAAUUUUUCAUUGAGGUGAAAAGCCUUUGCUUUCAGGCAUCAAAAUAGACUAUAGGGUGCAAGUUUAUUUACAGAAAAUAUGCAGCUUUUUUACUCAAUACAAUCCUGCCCCUACAGGUAUCUGUUUUCUUGUGAUAUCAACAUUGUGCCUGAUUCCCUCUGAAGUUCCAAAAGAAGAAGCCAGCUAAAAUUUCCUUUUUACCAACUCAUAUUGUCUGUCAAGGGAUGGGCUUUAGAGGAAAGUUUCCUCUAAUUUUUUUAAUGACCUUGAGCCAUUAUUUACUGGAUUUCCAUUGUCAUCUCUGAUGGACUUUGAACAGGUGCUGCAGAUUUCACAGUUCAGUGUCCCUGCCAAAGGUGCUCGGGGCUUUAACAUCCACGAGCAGAUGUCUGAGAAGGAAUGACACAGAAAGGAGUGGCUUGGCUGCAAUAAACCUGCAUAUUUACCUCA